rnacentral:rRNA from 1 species
CCUACGGGCGGCAGCAGUGGGGAAUAUUGCACAAUGGGGGCAACCCUGAUGCAGCGACGCCGCGUGAGUGAAGAAGUUCCUCGGUAUGUAAAGCCCUAUCAGCAGGGAAGAAAAUGACGGUACCUGAACAAGAAGCCCCGGCUAACUACGUGCCAGCAGCCGCGGUAAUAAGUAGGGGGCAAGCGUUAUCCGGAUUUACUGGGUGUAAAGGGGGCGUAGGCGGCGAUGCAAGUCAGGAGGGAAAGCCCAGGGGUCAACCAUGGGACUGCUGUUGAAACUGCGUGGCUAGAGUGGGGGAGAGGUAGGCGGAAUGCGUGGUGUAGCGGUGAAAUGCGUAGAUAUCAGGAGGAACACCGGUGGCGAAGGCGGCAUACUGGACUGUAAAUGACGCUGAGGCACGAAAGCGUGGGGAGCAAACAGGAUUAGAUACCCCAGUAGUC